rnacentral:rRNA from 1 species
GACGUAGGGGGCCAGCGUUGCUCGGAAUUACUGGGCGUAAAGGGUGCGUAGGCGGGUCUUUAAGUCAGGGGUGAAAUCCUGGAGCUCAACUCCAGAACUGCCUUUGAUACUGAGGAUCUUGAGUUCGGGAGAGGUGAGUGGAACUGCGAGUGUAGAGGUGAAAUUCGUAGAUAUUCGCAAGAACACCAGUGGCGAAGGCGGCUCACUGGCCCGAUACUGACGCUGAGGCACGAAAGCGUGGGGAGCAAACAGGG